rnacentral:rRNA from 1 species
UACGUAGGGUGCGAGCGUUAAUCGGAAUUACUGGGCGUAAAGGGCGCGCAGGCGGUUCUGUAAGACAGAUGUGAAAUCCCCGGGCUUAGCCUGGGAACUGCAUUUGUGACUGCAAGACUAGAGUGUAGCAGAGGGGGGUAGAAUUCCACGUGUAGCAGUGAAAUGCGUAGAUAUGUGGAGGAAUACCAAUGGCGAAGGCAGCCCCCUGGGUUAACACUGACGCUCAUGCACGAAAGCGUGGGGAGCAAACAGG